rnacentral:lncRNA from 1 species
CCCCCAAAAUCAAGAUCCACCAAAUCCCCCCCUUGGUCCAAGUGGGUCAGAGCGUCACUUUGUCCCCCCACCCCACCAUCCCCACCUACAACUUGUGUUCCUGGUUCCGGACCCACGGGACCCCUUACCAUAAAGAGAUCGGAUCCAUCUUCUUUCCCAACCCUAAAAUGGUUCCGGGUCCGGCCUAUACUAAAAAGGAACAGAUCCGGAUGAAGGGCUGCACUCUGACCAUCUCUGACUUAAAGCCUGAGGACAACGGGAUGUACACGGUCCUCAUCCGGGAUCCCAGGAUCAUCAGCAGCUACAUGGAACUCACGGUCUAUGGUGGGUCCAAACGGGGGCACUUCCUGUUUGGGGGACUUCCUGUCAUGGUCACUUCCUGUCUGGGUCACUUCCUGUUACGGUCACUUCCUGACAUGGUCACUUCCUGUCAUGGUCACUUCCUGUCUGGGUCAGUUCCUGUUUGGGUCACUUCCUGUCUGGAUCACUUCCUGUCGGGGUCACUUCCUGUUUGAGUCACUUCCUGUAAGGGCCACUUCCUGUCUGGGUCACUUCCUGUCGGGAUCACUUCCUGUUGGGGUCACUUCCUGGCUGGGUCACUUCUUGUCAUGGUCACUUCCAGUUUGGGUCACUUCCUGUUUGGGUCACUUCCUGUCUGGGUCACUUCCUGUCUGGGUCACUUCCUGUUUAGGAAACUUCCUGUCAUGGUCACUUCCUGUUUGGGUCACUUCCUGUUUGGGUCACUUCCUGUCUGGGUCACUUCCUGUUGGGGUCACAUCCUGUCAUGAUCACUUCCUGUUGGGGUCAGUUCAUGUUUUGGUCACUUCCUGCCAUGGUCACUUCCUGUCGGGGUCGCGUUCUGUCUGGGUCACUUCCUGUCUGGGUCACUUCCUGUUUAGGUUACUUCCUGUCUGGGUCACUUCCUGUUUAGGGUCACUUCCUGUUUGGGUCACUUCCUGUUUGGGUCCACUUCCCCGUCUGGGUCACUUCCUGUUGGGGGUCACAUCCUGUCACCAUGACACUUCCUGUGGGUCCAGUUCAUGUUUUGGUCACUUCCUGCCAUGGUGCACUUCCUGCGUCGGGGUCGCGUUCUGUCUGGGUCACAUCCUGUCUGGGUCACUUCCUGUUUAGGUUAUUCCUGUCUGGGUCACUUUCUGUCUGGUCAUUUCCUGUUGGGUCCACUUCGUGCCCAAUGGUCACUUCCUGUUGGGGUCAAUCCUUCGGUCACUUCCGUCUGGGUCAAUUCCUGUCAGGGCACUUCCGUUUGGGUCAUUUCCUGUUUGGGUCACUUCCUGUCUGGAAUUCACUCCUGUUUGGAUCAUUUCCUGCAUGGGUCAACUUCCUGUCUGUGGCAAAACUUUCCUGU